GACAUAAUAUUUUUCCAACAAUAUUUUAUUUGAUUUAUAUUUAACUUUUGAAGGGCUUGUUUAAGGUGUCAGGAAUUUCGCAACCCCAGUGUGGUGUUAUCAAUUUUUGCGCAAUAUUUCAGCCCAGGUCUGAUGAAUACAGAGAUUCGAUGUCGUCAUUCCUUCGAUCUAAUUGGAUAAUUUGAAUCAACAAUGUUAGACGACCGUGGGGUAUAUUGGCAUCAUUAUUGCAUUAUCAUGCGCAUAGCAGGUGUCUUGAGCUCCAAAAACCCAAAAUGUCAUUCGACAAAGUCGGGGUUGCUCGGUUCUGUACAAAAUCCUGAUCGAAAUUCUUCAGAUCUUCUCGGACCUGAAAGGGAAUUCUGCAGGGAGCGCGAGAGCUACAAUGUGAAAUUGGAUAUUUGGAAGCAGCAGCAGCAGCAGCAGCAGCAACAGCAGCAGCAGGGAGGAAGAGCCAAUACUGAGUGCGCACCGAUGGGUAGCUGUACCCUCUGGUGUGCAGACAUCAAAAGGAGCAACCCGGUCUGACACACACACACACACACACAAACCCGGUGGGGAAGAAGACGUGAAAUGACAAGACUGAAGUUACAAAGAGAUUUUUGUUCGACACAAGAGGGGGAGUUCAUUCAGCUCCAGCGACAGAGCUCCAGCGACAGAGCUCCGUCUCCGCGUUGUGUCGGUGUCCAGGGGCUGAUCGUCCGGACCGGUGCGCUUUACGCGCAUCUUUUCCCGGAAUGUCCAUCCCGCUAACAGAGCUGCCAGGCAGACACACGACUGAAAUGGCCAAGCGGUGUGUGUAGUCUGCGGAUAAACGGAUUUUCCCUUUCUACUCCGGACUAAAUUGACUCGCGAUCCCGGGGUACAGUCAGGCAGAGGGACUGACAGAGUGGCAGGAGAGCAGGGAGAGAGGCUGAUAUGGCACGACCACAUCCUCAUCCCGUCUUUACAUGCUGGAAUAAAAAAAGGACCAGCAUUGAAAGGGCACAGGAAAGCAGGAGCCCAUCAUGGAGAUCAAUCACGUAACACCCAGGCAGUAUCGGCUUGUUAGUAAAUCUUUUGAAGUGUGCCUGGAAGUGUGAGGACAUCUAUUUCCAUACUGUAACUUUAGACAUUUAACAGACGCUUUGCACACUUGUGCACAUUUUUUUGGAAUCACCUUUCCCAGCAUAGGAAAUUAAAAACCCUCAAACCGUCUGAUGAGCGUGGUGCUCUGCUGACUCAUAGAUGAUGAAACCCGCAGCCCUGACGGUAUUAAUGCACAGCUCAUUGAGCAGCAUAUAAGACCACGUCUGUCUCUACUGCGCUGUGGUGAGACGUGUCCCGCGGUAGCAGGACUCUUGGUUCACCUUUUGGAGCUGAGACAACCCAGAGUGUCCUGUCAGCGUCUGACGGGAAAAGCCAAUCCCAGCAGCAGCAGCUUCCAUUGAGCCAGCGAUCACUUCUGAAACGCAACACCAACUCCAAUAGUGCUGAGACCACUCAGGAGAAAAGGCACAAUGUGCUUGUGCUGCUGGGUGUGUGUGUGUGUGUGCGCGCGCGCUCUUAAGUGCAUGCACAUGUCUGAUUACAGUCAGAUGUGUCUUUUGUGUGUCGUUGUGACAAAUUCCCGCAGUCGUGGAGCUAUAAAAACUCUGGGGGCCACACUUCGAUCAGUAUUCUCCUGCGCACUGAUGAGUUAACGGCAGAUUUGCAUUUGUCUGUGGCUGUUAUCUCCGGCCAUCUUCCCGCAGAACGCCCUGACUUUACACAUCUCCGGCACGAACAUUGCUGAUGUCAACAGUCUAUAUUCUGUAAUGAGUGUAAUUAUCCACUUGAAUUAAUAAUUAAUGGGUUGCAAUAUAAGGUCAAAGACGGUUUUAUGCUGUGUGCUGAUAACUGGCUGCCUUUGUUUUAGUCUUUUGUGCAUAAAACA